AAACUUUUAGUAUAAGUAGUAUUUUUAAUUGCAAAUUAAAAGGUUAAAAGUUUUA
rnacentral:tRNA from 1 species